rnacentral:rRNA from 1 species
UACGUAGGGGGCAAGCGUUGUCCGGAAUCAUUGGGCGUAAAGAGCGUGUAGGCGGUCCGAUAAGUCCGCUCUGAAAGCCCGGGGCUCAACCCCGGGAGGCGGGCGGAUACUGUCGGGCUAGAGUCCGGAAGAGGCAAGUGGAAUUCCUGGUGUAGCGGUGAAAUGCGCAGAUAUCAGGAGGAACACCGGUGGCGAAGGCGGGUCUCUGGGCCGGAACUGACGCUGAGGAGCGAAAGCGUGGGGAGCGAACAGG